rnacentral:rRNA from 1 species
UACGAAGGGGGCUAGCGUUGCUCGGAAUCACUGGGCGUAAAGGGUGCGUAGGCGGGUCUUUAAGUCAGGGGUGAAAUCCUGGAGCUCAACUCCAGAACUGCCUUUGAUACUGAAGAUCUUGAGUUCGGGAGAGGUGAGUGGAACUGCGAGUGUAGAGGUGAAAUUCGUAGAUAUUCGCAAGAACACCAGUGGCGAAGGCGGCUCACUGGCCCGACACUGACGCUGAUGCACGAAAGCGUGGGGAGCAAACAGG